rnacentral:pre_miRNA from 1 species
UUCUUUGUCUACACUUUUGGAAAGAGUGAUGACGCCAUCGCUUUUUCCGAAAUGUAGACAAAGCA